rnacentral:tRNA from 1 species
AAUAAGUUAUAUACAAGUCUUCUAAAUUUGUUUUAGACAUUUUGUCUGCUUA